AGAAACUUGUAGGUAAGGAAAGAUGGAGUUUGGAUUCCUGACCAUUCUACUCAGCUCUGCUCUUCUUGGGCAUAGCUCUGGAUUCACAUCUUAUUAUCCUACAUGGUCACCCGAAACCACAGGUAGAGGUUAACUAUAUAAUACGCUGUGUUGCAUUUUAUGAAAUUAACUUUUAUUUUAUCUGUUUGAACAGAUUAUCCUACAUGGUCACAUGAAACACCAGGCAGAGGAAUAGUGGGUUCAUGUAGUGGACACUUCACUGCAAACGAAGGAGAAUUUGCAAGCCCUGAUUUUCCAAACAGUUACCCACACAAUGCU